rnacentral:lncRNA from 1 species
CAAAUUUUGAGUUCAUGUGUAAAAUUAUCUUAUUGAGAGUAUAUGAAAUUAACAUCUAUACUUCUAUUUAUCGGAGGUUCCCUCUCUUUUUGUAACUUUAACUAAUGAACUAAUCUCUUGGGUUUGUAGGUGGUGUACCAUUUCGAAUUUCGAAUUUUGAUGCUGUUGAUUCAUAUAGCGUAUGAGAAGUUGGAGAUCAGAUGGGAGAAUAUUGUUGAAAAUGACUUUGGACAAAAAUAAAUUUUAAAUAAUAAAGCUCAAACGGAGGCUUAGCUUCCACUUUAAAAAUCACUUAUUAACGAUCAAAGUUCAUUUUCAACUAUACAAUUCAAUGAUUUCACAAGCACUAUUUACUUAUUCACCAUUGAUUUAUACAUAUUUUGAAUUUAAACCGAUUGUAACAAAGAAGAAUGGAUAAAAGUGGCAAAACACCACAACCAUUAUACAUCAAAGGGGCAUGUUAUGGCCACAUCAGCAAGUAUGUUACCCGGAGUUAUGCACCAUUACCAUAUUGAUUUUACCAAAAUUGUGUUAGAUUAAUGCUUGACAAUAAUUUAUUGGUAGUUGAACCAAAAGUAUUUUUCAAUCAUCAAAUCACAAUUUGCC